rnacentral:rRNA from 1 species
UGCGUAGGCGGUUUAAUAAGUCGGGUGUGAAAGCCCCAAGCUUAACUUGGGAAUUGCAUCCGAUACUGUUGAACUAGAGUGUGGUAGAGGGAAGCGGAAUUCCGGGUGUAGCGGUGAAAUGCGUAGAUAUCCGGAGGAACACCAGUGGCGAAGGCGGCUUUCUGGUCUAACUCUGACGCUGAGGAGCGAAAGCUAGGGGAGCGAACAGGAUUAGAUACCCUGGUAGUCC